rnacentral:rRNA from 1 species
UACGAAGGGGGCUAGCGUUGUUCGGAAUCACUGGGCGUAAAGCGCACGUAGGCGGAUGUGUCAGUCAGGGGUGAAAUCCCGGGGCUCAACCUCGGAACUGCCUCUGAUACAGCACAUCUUGAGUCCGGAAGAGGUGGGUGGAAUUCCUAGUGUAGAGGUGAAAUUCGUAGAUAUUCGGAAGAACACCAGUGGCGAAGGCGACUUACUGGACACAUAUUGACGCUGAGGUGCGAAAGCGUGGGGAGCAAACAGG